UAGGGAAUCUUCGGCAAUGGACGAAAGUCUGACCGAGCAACGCCGCGUGAGUGAAGAAGGUUUUCGGAUCGUAAAACUCUGUUGUUAGAGAAGAACAAGGACGUUAGUAACUGAACGUCCCCUGACGGUAUCUAACCAGAAAGCCACGGCUAACUACGUGCCAGCAGCCGCGGUAAUACGUAGGUGGCAAGCGUUGUCCGGAUUUAUUGGGCGUAAAGCGAGCGCAGGCGGUUUCUUAAGUCUGAUGUGAAAGCCCCCGGCUCAACCGGGGAGGGUCAUUGGAAACUGGGAGACUUGAGUGCAGCAGAGGAGAGUGGAAUUCCAUGUGUAGCGGUGAAAUGCGUAGAUAUAUGGAGGAACACCAGUGGCGAAGGCGGCUCUCUGGUCUGUAACUGUCGCUGAGGCUCGAAAGCGUGGGGAGCAAACAGG
rnacentral:rRNA from 1 species